AACCCAGUGUGACUCGUCACACUAUCAUUAACUGAAUCCAUAGGUUAAUGAGGCGAACCGGGGGAACUGAAACAUCUAAGUACCCCGAGGAAAAGAAAUCAACCGAGAUUCCCCCAGUAGCGGCGAGCGAACGGGGAGGAGCCCAGAGCCUGAAUCAGCAUGUGUGUUAGUGGAAGCGUCUGGAAAGGCGCGCGAUACAGGGUGACAGCCCCGUACACAAAAGCGCAUGUGCUGUGAGCUCGAUGAGUAGGGCGGGACACGUGGUAUCCUGUCUGAAUAUGGGGGGACCAUCCUCCAAGGCUAAAUACUCCUGACUGACCGAUAGUGAACCAGUACCGUGAGGGAAAGGCGAAAAGAACCCCGGCGAGGGGAGUGAAAAAGAACCUGAAACCGUGUACGUACAAGCAGUGGGAGCACCCUUUGGGUGUGACUGCGUACCUUUUGUAUAAUGGGUCAGCGACUUAUAUUCUGUAGCAAGGUUAACCGAAUAGGGGAGC
rnacentral:rRNA from 1 species